UACGGAGGGGGCUAGCGUUGUUCGGAAUUACUGGGCGUAAAGGGCGCGUAGGCGGACAGUUAAGUUGGGGGUGAAAGCCCGGGGCUCAACCUCGGAAUUGCCUUCAAUACUGGCUGUCUUGAGUGUGAGAGAGGUGUGUGGAACUCCGAGUGUAGAGGUGAAAUUCGUAGAUAUUCGGAAGAACACCAGUGGCGAAGGCGACACACUGGCUCACUACUGACGCUGAGGCGCGAAAGCGUGGGGAGCAAACAGG
rnacentral:rRNA from 1 species